GGCUGGUUAGCUCAGUUGGUUAGAGUGUGGUGCUGAUAACACCAAGGUCAAAGGUUCAGAUUCCCAUACAAGCCA